GACGGAGUCCCUGCUAGGAAGUACAACCUACACGAAAAGACUAACUUUUGUGUUAUUAACCACAGAAACCAGAAACUAAGUCGCCAAAGAGAACAUGUUCUACACAGAGUCAUUUCAUUCUCAACAUUCCAGCUGUGAACUUUAGCAGGAACUAAAUCAAACAGUGCCCUCUGCUGGUACUGAGAUAAGAAAUAAUUAUAUUGUGCCAAUAUAAAAUACAAGCUCUUUAUUGUUUGAUAUAAAAAAGGCAGAAAUGUAUUGUCUUUGUAUGAAAGUGUAACAUUUUAUACACUGAUGUUUUUGUUUGUUUAAAUGUAAUAAAAUUUAAUAUGCUUCAAAAUAUAUUCUUAUUCUUUUGGUAUUAAUUAAAUUAAUUAAAUAUAAAUAAUCACUGUGUGUUAAAGCAUCAUAUCAUCUGUGUAUCACCGCUUUCACAUCUGUACCACUGCGCUGUUGUAUUCAUACCUUAUCACCAGAUCCCUCGUUCACCUGCACCAGCCCAUGCUUUGGUUGAACUUUAACCAGGAGCUGUUCGUGCUUUAACGUUUGCUUUGAGCCAACACAAAUACUAGAGCUGCAGAAAACGGAAGAGCUGUUGGAGGUUGGACGCCUCUGUGCUCAAACUGGUGGUAAAGUGUUGACGUGUGUGACUGUGAGCGGAUCGGAACAAUAGCUGACGCCAUCUGUUCUCACACACUGCAGUAUAUUCACAUUGUUACGAGGCACUGAGCCGUGAGUGGAUCAUUUAUCAGGACAUGGCGGUGGAGAGCAUGAUGGAGCAGCAGACGUCCCAGCGAUCCCCUGAGGACUGGGUAGAAUGGUUCCUGCAUCGUCUGAAUCAAGAGCCGUGGGCUCUGGGCGGUGCUGUGGUCAUAGGUGUAUUUUUGCUGGCAACCCUGUCCCUGGUCGUAUUUACCCUCCUGUAUGGAUGUUGCUGCAGCUCCAGGAAAGUCGCCCAGAAGAAGACAGCAUCCAGACAGGAUGGGGUGAUCUAGAGGCGUGAAGCCGCACAUCAUGUAUAUACUAUAUGUAUUAAAUGCAGUUUAACAGGA